rnacentral:rRNA from 1 species
GAUGAACGCUGGCGGCGUGCCUAAUACAUGCAAGUCGAGCGAACAGAUAAGGAGCUUGCUCCUUUGACGUUAGGGGCGGACGGGUGAGUAACACGUGGGUAACCUACCUAUAAGACUGGUAUAACUCCGGGAAACCGGGGCUAAUGCCGGAUAACAUUUAGAACCGCAUGGUUCUAAAGUGAAAGAUGGUUUUGCUAUCACUUAUAGAUGGACCCGCGCCGUAUUAGCUAGUUGGGAAGGUAACGGCUUACCAAGGCAACGAUACGUAGCCGAGCUGAGAGGGUGGUCGCCCGCACUGGAGCUGAGCCGCGGUCCAGGCUCCUACGGGACGCAGCAGUAGGCAAUCUUCCGCAAUGGGCGAAAGCCUGACGGAGCAGCGCCGCGUGAGUGAUGAAGGUCUUCGGAUCGUGAAGCUCUGUUAUUAGGGAAGAACAAAUGUGUACGUAACUGUGCACGUCUUGACGGUAACUAAUCAGAAAGCCACGGCUAACUACGUG